rnacentral:rRNA from 1 species
AAAGCGCACGCAGGCGGUCUGUUAAGUCAGAUGUGAAAUCCCCGGGCUUAACCUGGGAACUGCAUUUGAAACUGGCAGGCUUGAGUCUUGUAGAGGGGGGUAGAAUUCCAGGUGUAGCGGUGAAAUGCGUAGAGAUCUGGAGGAAUACCGGUGGCGAAGGCGGCCCCCUGGACAAAGACUGACGCUCAGGUGCGAAAGCGUGGGGAGCAAACAGGAUUAGAUACCCUAGU